GACGAACGCUGACAGAAUGCUUAACACAUGCAAGUCAACCUGGGGCUGACGGGUGAGUAACGCGUAAAGAACUUGCCUCACAGAUAGGGACAACAUUUGGAAACGAAUGCUAAUACCUGAUACUGUGAGAGAGCUUUGCGUCCCAUUAGCUAGUUGGAGAGGUAACGGCUCACCAAGGCGAUGAUGGGUAGCCGGACUGAGAGGGUGAUCGGCCACAAGGGGACUGGGACACGGCCCUUACUCAUACUGGGGGAAUCAGUGAGGAAUAUUGGACAAUGGACCAAAGUCUGAUCAAGCAAUUCUGAGUGCACGAUGAAGUUUUCGGAAUGUAAAGUGCUUUCAGUUGGGAAUCGGUACCAACAGAAGAAGUGACGGCUAAAUACGUGCCAGCAGCCGCGGUAAUAC
rnacentral:rRNA from 1 species